UAGGGAAUAUUGGGCAAUGGGCGAAAGCCUGACCCAGCAACGCCGCGUGCACGAUGAAGGCCUUCGGGUUGUAAAGUGCUUUUCGGGGAGACGAGCAAGGACGGUAUCCCCGGAAGAAGGAUCGGCUAACUACGUGCCAGCAGCCGCGGUAAAACGUAGGAUCCGAGCGUUAUCCGAAUUCACUGGGCGUAAAGCGCGUGCAGGCGGCCCGUUAAGUUGGAUGUGAAAUCUCCUGGCUCAACUGGGAGAGGCUGUUCAAUACUGGCGGGCUCGAGGACGGUAGAGGGAGGUGGAAUUCCCGGUGUAGUGGUGAAAUGCGUAGAUAUCGGGAGGAACACCAGUGGCGAAGGCGGCCUCCUGGGCCGUUCCUGACGCUCAGACGCGAAAGCUAGGGGAGCGAACGGG
rnacentral:rRNA from 1 species